rnacentral:lncRNA from 1 species
ACCGGGCAACGGCAGGGGCGGGACUUGAGCCUUUAAAGGGACCUCUUGGCUCGCGUCCACCCGCUCGCUGGGGGGCGGGCGGGAUUGGAGGGCUGGGGAGGAGGAGGGCCCAGAAGCCGACCACGCCGGAGCCUCUGCCCCCCCAGCCGCCUGAGUGGCAGAAUCUCAGCCUAGAUGGGACCCCGGUUUCAUAAAUGAGGAAACGGGAACGCAAAGAGGGGAACUACCCAAGGUCACUCAGGUUUGGUGGCUAAGCAAGGGGUAAGAACCCAGGUCUCCGGAGCAGAGUGCUUCACUUCAAAGCAUCCCACAGCGAUUAGCGGUUUAUAUUUUGAAAGCACCAGGAAAGCUUCCCUUCUGAUUUAUGACAGUGAAUGUGUCAACCUUUACUGAACGAGAUUCUUGCUGGUGACUAACAAAAUUCCCUUCACCUCCAUCCUGCAGCAUUUUAAAGUUCAUCUUUUGGUUGAUUCCUGGCUAGGCUCUUCGCCCAGAUGGGCCCCUCCCUGCUAGACCGAAGUGGUUCCACUGACCUUUAUGACCCACAGAUGACCCGCUGAGCUUGCCUCACACUCUUUUGUGGCCGUGGGGGCAGAGGGUCGACGUGGGAGGCCUGGGCUGCACUGGGAGAGAAGGCAACAAAGGGGGCACUCAACUCCAGGCACCUGGGUAGAGGCUGGAGGGGAGAGGGCCAAAAGCAGGAAGAGCAGGUGUGGGAAAUUCUCAAGGUCACAGAACCUUUGUGGAGUUGAAAAGAAGGCUCAGAUCAUCGAGUUUUACAGUUUCAUUUUCAGGUGAAGACACGGAAGCCCAGACGGGUAAAGAGACUCGUCGACAGUUGAACAAUAAACUAGCGAGCAGGGACCAACAGUGUGGUCCUCAUGGGUCCAGAGCAGGGCGGUUUCCGCAGCAGCAUGGAAGGACCCAGAAGCUAAACAUCCAAGACUGGGCCCUGUGUGAGUUUCUGGCUUGGAUGAAAGUGAAGACUAUACCAGAUAACAAGAGACAGGUGGAAGCUGAAGUGUGGUGUUCCAAGUCAGAGAUCUGGGUUGAGAUUCCCACCCUGCCACGCGCUAGCUACGUAACCCUGGGCAAGUUAUGUAACUACCUCAGGCGUCCGUUCCCUCACCUCCGAAAGAGGAUAAUCACAUUCCCCUCAUCACAGGACCAGGAUGAGGUUAAAGGCAGUAACCUGGGCCAAGCACCCAGUAUAAUGCUCAGCACAAAAUAGAUAGUAAUUUCCUUCACAUUUCCCGUGGAUUCUCUGUCCCUUCUGCGAUGGGCCUCUGCCCUCUAACUGGACAGAAGGGCACAUCUGUCAUAAAGAAAUCUGCAGGAUAGGGAGUGUCUGUGGUGAGUGUGAAUGAGGUGUGGACAAGGUGAGGAGGUUUGCGGGGCCCAAGUGCUCCUUGUUGAUGCGGGAGGUGGGAGGAAACCAAUUGGCAGAGUUAUUCG